rnacentral:rRNA from 1 species
GAUGAACGCUGGCGGCGUGCCUAAUACAUGCAAGUCGAGCGAACGGACGAGGAGCUUGCUUCUCUGAUGUUAGCGGCGGACGGGUGAGUAACACGUGGAUAACCUACCUAUAAGACUGGGAUAACUUCGGGAAACCGGAGCUAAUACCGGAUAAUAUUUUGAACCGCAUGGUUCAAAAGUGAAAGACGGUCUUGCUGUCACUUAUAGAUGGAUCCGCGCUGCAUUAGCUAGUUGGUAAGGUAACGGCUUACCAAGGCAACGAUGCAUAGCCGACCUGAGAGGGUGAUCGGCCACACUGGAACUGAGACACGGUCCAGACUCCUACGGGAGGCAGCAGUAGGGAAUCUUCCGCAAUGGGCGAAGGCCUGACGGAGCAACGCCGCGUGAGUGAUGAAGGUCUUCGGAUCGUAAAACUCUGUUAUUAGGGAAGAACAUAUGUGUAAGUAACUGUGCACAUCUUGACGGUACCUAAUCAGAAAGCCACGGCUAACUACGU